CGCGGGGUGGAGCAGCUUGGUAGCUCGUCGGGCUCAUAACCCGAAGGUCGUUGGUUCAAAUCCNUUUCACGAGA
rnacentral:tRNA from 1 species